rnacentral:rRNA from 1 species
UAAUACAGAGGGUGCGAGCGUUAAUCGGAAUUACUGGGCGUAAAGCGUGCGUAGACGGUUAUUUAAGUCGGAUGUGAAAGCCCCGGGCUCAACCUGGGAAUUGCAUUCGAGACUGAAUAGCUAGGGUGCGGUAGAGGGAAGCGGAAUUUCCGGUGUAGCGGUGAAAUGCGUAGAUAUCGGAAGGAACAUCAGUGGCGAAAGCGGCUUCCUGGACCAGCACCGACGUUCAGGCACGAAAGCGUGGGGAGCAAACAGGAUUAGAUACCCUGGUAGUCCACGCCGUAAACGAUGGGCACUAGGCGUCGGGGGGAGCGACCCUCCCGGUGCCGUCGCUAACGCAGUAAGUGCCCCGCCUGGGGAGUACGGCCGCAAGGCUG